AACGGCUGGCGGGCGUAGCCUAAUACAUGCAAGUCGAGCGAACCGACUUCGGUUGGGAAGACGGCGAACGGGGUGAGUAACACGUAGGUGGAUCUGCCCAUCAGACGGGGACAACGAUUGGAAACGAUCGCUAAUACCGGAUAGGACGAAAGUUUAAAGAUGCUCCUGGCAUCACUGAUGGAUGAGCCUGCGGCGCAUUAGCUAGUUGGUGGGGUAAAGGCCUACCAAGGCGACGAUGCGUAGCCGACCUGAGAGGGUGAACGGCCACACUGGGACUGAGACACGGCCCAGACUCCUACGGGAGGCAGCAGUAGGGAAUCUUCGGCAAUGGGCGAAAGCCUGACCAAGCAACGCCGCGUGAAUGAAGAAGGCCUUCGGGUUGUAAAAUUCUGUUAUAAGGGAAGAAAGGUGAUAGGGGGAAAUGACUAUCAAUUGACGGUACCUUAUGAGAAAGCCACGGCUAACUACGUG
rnacentral:rRNA from 1 species